AGCAGCCGCGGUAAUUCCAGCUCCAAUAGCGUAUAUUAAAGUUGUUGCAGUUAAAAAGCUCGUAGUUGAAUUUCGGGAUUAGUACGUUGGUCGUGCCUUCGGUACGUACUGGUGUUACUGAUUCCUACCUUCUGACGAACCAUCAUGUCAUUAAUUUGGUGUGGCGGGGAAUCAGGACUGUUACUUUGAAAAAAUUAGAGUGUUUAAAGCAGGCUCGCGCUUGAAUACAUUAGCAUGGAAUAAUGAAAUAGGACGUAGACCCUAUUUUGUUGGUUUCUAGGAUUGACGUAAUGAUUAAUAGGGAUAGUUGGGGGCAUUAGUAUUCAAUUGUCAGAGGUGAAAUUCUUGGAUUUGUUGAAGACUAACUACUGCGAAAGCAUUUGCCAAGGAUGUUUUCAUUAAUCAAGAACGAAAGUUAGGGGAUCGAAGACGAUCAGAUACCGUCGUAGUCUUAACCAUAAACUAUGCCGACUAGGGAUCGGAUGAUGUUAAUUUUUUAAUGACUCA
rnacentral:rRNA from 1 species